UUAGAGGGUUUCCGCCCUUUAGUGCUGCAGCUAACGCAUUAAGCACUCCGCCUGGGGAGUACGGUCGCAAGACUGAAACUCAAAGGAAUUGACGGGGGCCCGCACAAGCGGUGGAGCAUGUGGUUUAAUUCGAAGCAACGCGAAGAACCUUACCAGGUCUUGACAUCCUCUGACAACUCUAGAGAUAGAGCGUUCCCCUUCGGGGGACAGAGUGACAGGUGGUGCAUGGUUGUCGUCAGCUCGUGUCGUGAGAUGUUGGGUUAAGUCCCGCAACGAGCGCAACCCUUGAUCUUAGUUGCCAGCAUUUAGUUGGGCACUCUAAGGUGACUGCCGGUGACAAACCGGAGGAAGGUGGGGAUGACGUCAAAUCAUCAUGCCGCUUAUGACCUGGGCUACACACGUGCUACAAUGGAUGGUACAAAGGGCUGCAAGACCGCGAGGUCAAGCCAAUCCCAUAAAACCAUUCUCAGUUCAGAUUGUAGGCUGCAACUCGCCUACAUUGAAGCUGGA
rnacentral:rRNA from 2 species